rnacentral:rRNA from 1 species
GAUGAACGCUGGCGGCGUGCCUAAUACAUGCCAGUCGAGCGAACAGACGAGGAGCUUGCUCCUUUGACGUUAGCGGCGGACGGGUGAGUAACACGUGGGUAACCUACCUAUAAGACUGGGAUAACUUCGGGAAACCGGAGCUAAUACCGGAUAAUAUUUCGAACCGCAUGGUUCGAUAGUGAAAGAUGGCUCUGCUAUCACUUAUAGAUGGACCUGCGCCGUAUUAGCUAGUUGGUAAGGUAACGGCCUACCAAGGCAACGAUACGUAGCCGACCUGAGAGGGUGAUCGGCCACACUGGAACUGAGACACGGUCCAGACUCCUACGGGAGGCAGCAGUAGGGAAUCUUCCGCAAUGGGCGAAAGCCUGACGGAGCAACGCCGCGUGAGUGAUGAAGGUCUUCGGAUCGUAAAACUCUGUUAUUAGGGAAGAACAAACGUGUAAGUAACUGUGCACGUCUUGACGGUACCUAAUCAGAAAGCCACGGCUAACUACGUG